rnacentral:snoRNA from 1 species
UCACCAAAACUUUCCCAUUCCUUACCACGCAGUGUGGGCCUGGGGACACAUGAUGCUUACAGAAGAGCAGAGUAAAUCCAGGCAGGUGACUGUUCAGCGAGUACCUGCUUCUACACCUCUGCAACAGUU